UACAGAGGGUGCAAGCGUUAAUCGGAAUUACUGGGCGUAAAGCGUGCGUAGACGGUUAUGUAAGUCGGGUGUGAAAGCCCCGGGCUCAACCUGGGAAUUGCAUUCGAGACUGAAUAGCUAGGGUACGGUAGAGGGAAGCGGAAUUUCCGGUGUAGCGGUGAAAUGCGUAGAUAUCGGAAGGAACAUCAGUGGCGAAAGCGGCUUCCUGGACCAGUACCGACGUUCAGGCACGAAAGCGUGGGGAGCAAACAGG
rnacentral:rRNA from 1 species